rnacentral:rRNA from 1 species
UACAGAGGUCUCAAGCGUUGUUCGGAUUCAUUGGGCGUAAAGGGUGCGUAGGUGGCUUGCUAAGUCAGACGUGAAAUCCCUCAGCUUAACUGGGGAACUGCGUCUGAGACUGGCAAGCUUGAGUGCAGGAGAGGAACGCGGAAUUCCAGGUGUAGCGGUGAAAUGCGUAGAUAUCUGGAGGAACACCGGUGGCGAAGGCGGCGUUCUGGACUGUAACUGACACUGAAGAACGAAAGCCAGGGGAGCAAACGGG